AUUGAACGCUGGCGGCAGGCCUAACACAUGCAAGUCGAGCGAGCGGCGGACGGGUGAGUAAUGUCUGGGAAACUGCCUGAUGGAGGGGGAUAACUACUGGAAACGGUAGCUAAUACCGCAUACCAUCAGAUGUGCCCCGAUGGGAUUAGCUUGUAGGUGGGGUAACGGCUCACCUAGGCGGCGAUCCCUAGCUGGUCUGAGAGGAUGACCAGGCAACCUGGAACUGAGACACGGUCCAGACUCCUACGGGAGGCAGCAGUGGGGAAUAUGGGACAAUGGGCGAAAGCCUGAUGCAGCCAUGCCGCGUGUGUGAAGAAGGCCUUCGGGUUGUAAAGCACUUUCAGCGGGGAGGCGUGACCCGCAGAAGAAGCACCGGCUAACUCCGUGCCAGCAGCCGCGGUAAUAC
rnacentral:rRNA from 1 species